rnacentral:rRNA from 1 species
CCGAUAAGGUGGAAACGGACAGAGCUGGCGUAUCUGGCUUGCAUUCAGCCGCUGCGCGUCGGGCCCCGGUUUGCCGCCCUCCAGAUUGGGAAGGUGGCUGGGCCGCUGGCGUGCCAGUGGUGCAUUUGCAGGUGGAGUGCGCCGAGGCGCUCGGUUCAGCGGCAUGAGCUCAGCUUUGAGGCCAACCGUGCAAGCGGUCUGGUACCCGGGCUGGGGGAGUGUUGUUUGGGCUGGGUGUUCGCUUGGGCAAUGGUUUCGGGCCCGGGUGGGUGCCGAGCUGGCGGUCGGCGGCGGUCGCGUGCGACACGUGCCAGCAGUCAGUUCGGUCCUGCUCGAGCUCUCAUCUGUCCGGCUUCGGUGUAAAAGCCGGUCAUCUGUCCNACCCGUCUUGAAACACGGACCAAGGAGUUUAGCGUGUGCGCGAGUCAUUGGGCGUUGAAAACCCAAAGGCGCAAUGAAAGUGAAGGUCUGCCUUGUGCAGCUGAUGUGUGAUCCUGGGCGCUGCGGUGCCUGGGCGCAACAUAGUCCCGUCCCGACUGCAUGCAGUGGGGCGGAGACAGAGCGUACGCGCUGAG